GGCUGAACGGGAGGCGAUUCCGGCUGCAGUACCCUUACCGGACACAUGGUGGCACUACAUACUUAUUGGAGGCCCGCAGCUGUUCUAUCGCGGUCCCCGUUCCCCACUGAACGUAUACACUCUCCUGAAGCAGAUCAAGCAUCGGGAUGACGGCUUGCCGUCGCUAAACGCCUGCACACGCAUAAAAGAGACGACAAGACGCCAUGCGAGAGACGGGCCCCGUUGUACGGGUGAGGAGACUUCACUGAGAAACUCUCUCCUCCGUCUCUUCUGCAGGGGAAGAAGGGCUGUGUGUCUAGUAUCCAAAGUGGCUAUCGCCUUCCAGAAGGGGAACAGAGAGAGCACGAGCAGAAGAUACGGUCGAAAGCACGUCAGCCCAGCGGAGAACCCGGAGCACUCGUGUCUGAGAGAAGGGUCUGACCUGGCGGUGAUAGGACCAGCUGGGGUGGGGGUCGGAGAUACCCAUACUGUGUUGGUGGUGGAGGGUGGAGGAAUGCAGCCUUACCUCCUCCGAGAGCCGCCCCAGCACUGUGGCGGAGCACAGAGUCACAUCUACGGCUGGACUUCACUGUGUAUAAACAGUGGUAUCUUAGCUUUGAUACCUGCACCUUUCCAUUAUUACUAUUUUGGUGGACGUCACUGUAUUGUGUUGUGUUGCUGUGCAUGACAAUACAGUAGAACCAGAUCUAAUAAUCAAUGUAUCAUAACUAAUGUCUAAUCUUAAUGUAAUGCUGAGUGUUUGUUUUUUUUAUGUUGUGAAACCGUUUUUUUCCCUUUGAAGACCUUCUGCUUCUUAUUAGUUUCCACUCAGAUAUCUCUCUGUUGGUUAGAUCGGCAACCAAAGCCGUCUCGAAACCACCAAGCUGACAAACGGAGUGAAAAAACAAUUCUGUGAAUGUGUUCCUGAGGUGACUAUGGGUGUUACGGGCCUCUCAUAAUACAUAUCAUUGAAUGACUCCAGGGUCUCUGACGUGUCUUGGCUACUGAACGCCUUUCACAUCAAAGAAACAGGGCAACAUUAGAGACUUUCUUGUUAUUUCAUAUCUAAAACAGUAACGAAUACGUGCGUGUGCGUGAUCGAAAAUUAUCUAUAAAAAGGGUACAAUUUGUAAUGAGUUGUGUAAACG
ensembl:lncRNA